GACGAACGCUGGCGGCGUGCUUAACACAUGCAAGUCGAACGGAAAGGCCCUGCUUUUGUGGGGUGCUCGAGUGGCGAACGGGUGAGUAACACGUGAGUAACCUGCCCUUGACUUUGGGAUAACUUCAGGCAACUGGGGCUAAUACCGGAUAGGAGAUCCUGCUGCUUGGUGGGGGUUGGAAAGUUUCGGCGGUUGGGGAUGGACUCGCGGCUUAUCAGCUUGUUGGUGGGGUAGUGGCUUACCAAGGCUUUGACGGAUAGCCGGCCUGGGAGGGUGACCGGCCACAUUGGGACUGAGGUACGGCGCAGACUCCUACGGGAGGCAGCAGGGGGGAAUAUUGCACAAUGGGCGGGAGCCUGAGGCAGCAGCGCCGCGUGCGGGAUGACGGCCUUCUGGUUGUAAACCGCUGUCGCCUGUGACGAAGCGUGAGUGACGGUAAUGGGUAAAGAAGCACCGGCUAACUACGUG
rnacentral:rRNA from 1 species